AUGAACGCUAGCUACAGGCUUAACACAUGCAAGUCGAGGGGCAGCAUGGUCUUAGCUUGCUAAGGCCGAUGGCGACCGGCGCACGGGUGAGUAACACGUAUCCAACCUGCCGUCUACUCUUGGACAGCCUUCUGAAAGGAAGAUUAAUACAAGAUGGCAUCAUGAGUCCGCAUGUUCACAUGAUUAAAGGUAUUCCGGUAGACGAUGGGGAUGCGUUCCAUUAGAUAGUAGGCGGGGUAACGGCCCACCUAGUCUUCGAUGGAUAGGGGUUCUGAGAGGAAGGUCCCCCACAUUGGAACUGAGACACGGUCCAAACUCCUACGGGAGGCAGCAGUGAGGAAUAUUGGUCAAUGGGCGAGAGCCUGAACCAGCCAAGUAGCGUGAAGGAUGACUGCCCUAUGGGUUGUAAACUUCUUUUAUAAAGGAAUAAAGUCGGGUAUGGAUACCCGUUUGCAUGUACUUUAUGAAUAAGGAUCGGCUAACUCCGUGCCAGCAGCCGCGGUAAUACGGAGGAUCCGAGCGUUAUCCGGAUUUAUUGGGUUUAAGGGGAGCGUAGAUGGAUGUUUAAGUCAGUUGUGAAAGUUUGCGGCUCAACCGUAAAAUUGCAGUUGAUACUGGAUAUCUUGAGUGCAGUUGAGGCAGGCGGAAUUCGUGGUGUAGCGGUGAAAUGCUUAGAUAUCACGAAGAACUCCGAUUGCGAAGGCAGCCUGCUAAGCUGCAACUGACAUUGAGGCUCGAAAGUGUGGGUAUCAAACAGGAUUAGAUACCCUGGUAGUCCACACGGUAAACGAUGAAUACUCGCUGUUUGCGAUAUACUGCAAGCGGCCAAGCGAAAGCGUUAAGUAUUCCACCUGGGGAGUACGCCGGCAACGGUGAAACUCAAAGGAAUUGACGGGGGCCCGCACAAGCGGAGGAACAUGUGGUUUAAUUCGAUGAUACGCGAGGAACCUUACCCGGGCUUAAAUUGCAGAUGAAUUACGGUGAAAGCCGUAAGCCGCAAGGCAUCUGUGAAGGUGCUGCAUGGUUGUCGUCAGCUCGUGCCGUGAGGUGUCGGCUUAAGUGCCAUAACGAGCGCAACCCUUGUUGUCAGUUACUAACAGGUUCCGCUGAGGACUCUGACAAGACUGCCAUCGUAAGAUGUGAGGAAGGUGGGGAUGACGUCAAAUCAGCACGGCCCUUACGUCCGGGGCUACACACGUGUUACAAUGGGGGGUACAGAGGGCCGCUACCACGCGAGUGGAUGCCAAUCCCCAAAACCUCUCUCAGUUCGGACUGGAGUCUGCAACCCGACUCCACGAAGCUGGAUUCGCUAGUAAUCGCGCAUCAGCCACGGCGCGGUGAAUACGUUCCCGGGCCUUGUACACACCGCCCGUCAAGCCAUGGGAGCCGGGGGUACCUGAAGUGCGUAACCGCGAGGAGCGCCCUAGGGUAAAACUGGUGACUGGGGCU
rnacentral:rRNA from 1 species